rnacentral:rRNA from 1 species
GAAAGCCUGAUCCAGCAAUACCGCGUGUGUGAAGAAGGCCUGAGGGUUGUAAAGCACUUUCAAUAGGAAGGAAUACCUGCCGGUUAAUACCCGGUAGACUGACAUUACCUAUCAAGAAGCACCGGCUAACUCCGUGCCAGCAGCCGCGGUAAUACGGAGGGUGCAAGCGUUAAUCGGAAUUACUGGGCGUAAAGCGUGCGUAGGCGGUUGUUUAAGUCAGAUGUGAAAGCCCUGGGCUUAACCUGGGAACUGCAUUUGAUACUGGACGACUAGAGUUUAGUAGAGGGGAGUGGAAUUUCAGGUGUAGCGGUGAAAUGCGUAGAGAUCUGAAGGAACACCAGUGGCGAAGGCGGCUCCCUGGACUAAAACUGACGCUGAGGUACGAAAGCGUGGGUAGCAAACAGGAUUAGAUACCCUGGUAG